rnacentral:rRNA from 1 species
UGGGCAACCUGCCCCUCUCUCUGGGAUAACCCCGGGGAAACCGGAGCUAAUACCGGAUACUCCGGCUGGAUCGCAUGGUCCGGCCGGGAAAGGUCCGCCGGAGAGGGAUGGGCCCGCGGCCUAUCAGCUUGUUGGUGGGGUCAUGGCUCACCAAGGCGACGACGGGUAGCUGGUCUGAGAGGACGACCAGCCAUACUGGAACUGAGAUACGGUCCAGACUCCUACGGGAGCA